rnacentral:rRNA from 1 species
AUCCUGGCUCAGAUUGAACGCUGGCGGCAGGCCUAACACAUGCAAGUCGAGCGGAUGAAGAGAGCUUGCUCUCUGAUUCASCGGCGGACGGGUGAGUAAUGCCUAGGAAUCUGCCUGGUAGUGGSGGACAACGUUUCGAARGGAACGCUAAUACCGCAUACGUCCUACGGGAGAAAGCAGGGGACCUUCGGSCCUUGCGCUAUCAGAUGAGCCUAGGUCSGAUUAGCUAGUAGSUGAGGUAAWRGCUCACCUAGGCGRCGAUCCGUAACUG